rnacentral:misc_RNA from 1 species
AACACUGUUAACCUGCGGUACCUGCGGAAGGAUCAUUACAGAGUUCGUGCCCUCGCGGGUAGAUCUCCCACCCUUGUGUAUUCUCUACAUCUUGUUGCUUUGGCAGGCCGUUGGUUCGCCAACCACCGGCUCGCGGGCUGGUGCGUGCCUGCCAGAGGACCUCUCAAACUCGGUUUGUUAGUGUCGUCUGAGUACCAUAACAAUCGUUAAAACUUUCAACAAUGGAUCUCAGAUCGGAAG